AGGAGAGAAGAGGAAGAGGUACGCCGGCCCUCUCCUGUCCAGGAUAAGGACACCGACUGUCCCUGUGAUAAGAAAAGACGGCUGAUGACAUCAGAGGAGGGAAAGCAAACACCAGCAGGCUCUUCCCAAACAGGAGAGAAGAGGAAGAGGUACGCCGGCCCUCUCCUGUCCAGGGAUAAGGACACCGACUGUCCCUGUGCCAAAAGACGGCGUUUAUAAGAGGCGCGGGCCCCCAAGGCAUCAGCUUCCAGCGCAGAUAACACCAGCGGAAGCCUGCAGAACACCUUGCCUUGGGGAGAAUACCACCUAUACCAACUGCCGGCCCUCGGGUCAUAUGGAUCCAUCUAUCUAUGGCCCUCAUUCCGAGUCGUUCGCUCUGUAAUUUUCUUCGCAUCGCAGCGUUUUUCUGCUUAGUACGCAUGCGCAAUGUUCGCACUGCGACUGCGCCAAGUAAUUUUGCUAUGAAGAUAGUUUUUU